UUAGUUAUCACAUGAAGGGACACGAAGUUCGAUACGAUACGAUACGAUAUCGACAUUUUUGCCGUUCGAUACCGAUACUUUUUGCUCGAUAGUUUUCAAAC